CUUCCGCAAUGGACGCAAGUCUGACGGAGCAACGCCGCGUGAGUGAGGAAGGUCUUCGGAUCGUAAAGCUCUGUUGCCAGGGAAGAAGUCUUGAGAGAGUAACUGCUCCCAAGGUGACGGUACCUGAGAAGAAAGCCCCGGCUAACUACGUGCCAGCAGCCGCGGUAAUACGUAGGGGGCGAGCGUUGUCCGGAAUUAUUGGGCGUAAAGCGCGCGCAGGCGGUUUUGUAAGUCCGAUUGUUUAAACCCGGGGCUCAACCCCGGGUCGCAAGGGAAACUGCAAGACUUGAGUGCAGGAGAGGGAAGCGGAAUUCCACGUGUAGCGGUGAAAUGCGUAGAGAUGUGGAGGAACACCAGUGGCGAAGGCGGCUUCCUGGCCUGUAACUGACGCUGAGGCGCGAAAGCGUGGGGAGCAAACAGG
rnacentral:rRNA from 1 species